rnacentral:rRNA from 1 species
GAUGAACGCUGGCGGCGUGCCUAAUACAUGCAAGUCGAGCGAACAGACGAGGAGCUUGCUCCUCUGACGUUAGCGGCGGACGGGUGAGUAACACGUGGAUAACCUACCUAUAAGACUGGGAUAACUUCGGGAAACCGGAGCUAAUACCGGAUAACAUGUUGAACCGCAUGGUUCAACAGUGAAAGACGGUCUUGCUGUCACUUAUAGAUGGAUCCGCGCCGCAUUAGCUAGUUGGUAAGGUAACGGCUUACCAAGGCAACGAUGCGUAGCCGACCUGAGAGAGUGAUCGGCCACACGGGAACUGAGACACGGUCCAGACUCCUACGGGAGGCAGCAGUAGGGAAUCUUCCGCAAUGGGCGAAAGCCUGACGGAGCAACGCCGCGUGAGUGAAGAAGGUCUUCGGAUCGUAAAACUCUGUUAUUAGGGAAGAACAAAUGUGUAAGUAACUAUGCACGUCUUGACGGUACCUAAGCAGAAAGCCACGGCUAACUACGUG